UCGGAUUGCAGGCUGCAACUCGCCUGCAUGAAGUUGGAAUCACUAGUAAUCGUGGAUCAGCAUGCCACGGUGAAUACGUUCCCGGGCCUUGUACACACCGCCCGUCACACCAUGAGAGUUUGUAACACCCAAAGACGAUGGAGUAACCUUCGGGAGCUAGUUGUCUAAGGUGGGACAGAUGAUUAGGGUGAAGUCGUAACAAGGUAGCCGUAGGAGAACCUGCGGCUGGAUCACCUCCUUUCUAAGGA
rnacentral:rRNA from 1 species